rnacentral:precursor_RNA from 1 species
GCUCUGCUUCGUUCUCUAUUCUUCCAUGUUAGAUUCCAGAUAUACAUUAGUCAUGAAUCGGACUUAUCAUGUCACAUAUAUAACAUAUAAACCCUCCAAAUGUUACUUUUAAUUCGAUGUUUAAUUUGUCUCAAAAUUAAUCACCUCGUUAAUUAGU